GGUAUGGUUGCUUCUGCUACUACAGUUCAUAGCUCCGUAACCCAGAACAAGCUGACCCCUCUAUGACAACUCCUCAAAUAUUUGAAGAUCCCAGUUUACAGGACACUGACAAAACGUUUGAAGAGGACCGAGCCAUGAACAGAAUUUGAGAGCACUACUCCAGAGGUUUCUUUAACGUGACCUGGCUUCUUUUAGCUGAAGACAUUCUGUGUUGAUAAUACGCAAAGUACUCAAGGCCAGUCCCAAAUAAAAUAAUCAAGGGCUUCCAGAUUUCCCUUUCUUCUCCGUGUCUUCCCUAACUUCAAGGUCCGUACAG
rnacentral:lncRNA from 1 species